rnacentral:rRNA from 1 species
UACAGAGGUCUCAAGCGUUGUUCGGAUUCAUUGGGCGUAAAGGGUGCGUAGGUGGCGCCGUAAGUCGGGUGUGAAAUUUCGGAGCUUAACUCCGAAACUGCAUUCGAUACUGCGGUGCUUGAGGACUGGAGAGGAGACUGGAAUUCCUGGUGUAGCGGUGGAAUGCGCAGAUAUCAGGAGGAACACCAAUAGCGAAGGCAGCUCGCUGGGACGUUACUGACACUGAGGCGCGAAAGCGUGGGGAGCGAACAGG